UAAUAAGUGUUUUAUGGCACUUUUUAAAUCCAUAUCCACCUUGUGUGCAAUGUCAGUCGAUCUUCUUCAUGAGAUUGACCAAACAUCAACCUUAUCUUUUAACACUUUGUCUGAAAAAUAUUAUGAAUAAACAAUUCAAAAUA
rnacentral:misc_RNA from 1 species